AAGACCCUAGUAAAAGAGCUAUUACGCUGCUUUGUCAAAGCAGCAUUGUGGGUUGAAGCCCCGCGAGUCUUA
rnacentral:tRNA from 1 species